rnacentral:rRNA from 1 species
GAUGAACGCUGGCGGCGUGCUUAACACAUGCAAGUCGAACGGAAAGGCCCAAGCUUGCUUGGGUACUCGAGUGGCGAACGGGUGAGUAACACGUGGGUGAUCUGCCCUGCACUUCGGGAUAAGCCUGGGAAACUGGGUCUAAUACCGGAUAGGACCACAUUUUGGAUGGUGUGGUGGAAAGUUUUUCGGUGUGGGAUGAGCUCGCGGCCUAUCAGCUUGUUGGUGGGGUAAUGGCCUACCAAGGCGUCGACGGGUAGCCGGCCUGAGAGGGUGUACGGCCACAUUGGGACUGAGAUACGGCCCAGACUCCUACGGUAGGCAGCAGUGGGGAAUAUUGCACAAUGGGCGCAAGCCUGAUGCAGAGACGCCGCGUGGGGGAUGACGGCCUUCGGGUUGUAAACUCCUUUCGCUAGGGACGAAGCGUUUUUGUGACGGUACCUGGAGAAGAAGCACCGGCUAACUACGUG